GACAGGGACAUCUCCACCAAGAAGUUUGCGGAAAUUAGGAAGAAAUUAGAAAGCGGGGACAAAUCAGGAGACAAGAGACCAGAGAAUGUAAAGUUUGACAUCGAAAAAUGGUGGAACGACUACAUCUUCCGUAAGCUUAAGGGUCCCGAGGUGAAGAUGACGAACGAUGAAUUCGUGAAUUCUCUCGCAGAGGCCUACCAAAAAGACAAUGCUGCUUUCCGUGAGGAAAUGGAGCGAUGUUUCGAGGACAUUGCAAACUUUCUCACACCUGACAUGCAGCGAAAUAUUACCGAAAAUGAGUUUGCCGAUGGGUUCAAGGCUUUUAAGUUCGGCCAGGUAGACGAGGAAAAGAUUAAUGACGCAUACAAGCUGUUCAAGGCCGCCCAUGAACAGCUCACCGUACAGUUGUUAGUUGACGCUUGGGUCCAGUUCACAGCAGAUGUCGAUCAAAGCAAACAGGAUAUCAUCAUGGAAAUUUAUGGAAACUAACCGUUUGCUUUUGAACAUUGAAAUUGUAAUAUAUUUUAGUAUUUUCACAAUAUAGUUAAAAUGAUAAAAUGGCAAAUGAAUUAUGAAAGGCACUACCCUUAUCAAAGUAUGGCUUUUGAGCACUUAAAAAAGCAUUUUCGAUACAUUUUGAAGUUUAUGCUCUGUUGAAAUAAGCUGAUUGUUUCAAAUCAAAACAACAAUAAAUCGUUUAAAGAAUUCUUG
rnacentral:misc_RNA from 1 species